rnacentral:rRNA from 1 species
UCGAACGGCAGCACGGGGGCAACCCUGGGUGGCGAGUGGCGAACGGGUGAGUAAUACAUCGGAACGUGCCCAGUCGUGGGGGAUAACGUAGCGAAAGCUACGCUAAUACCGCAUACGAACUCUGGUUGAAAGCGGGGGAUCGCAAGACCUCGCGCGAUUGGAGCGGCCGAUGGCAGAUUAGGUAGUUGGUGGGGUAAAGGCCUACCAAGCCGACGAUCUGUAGCUGGUCUGAGAGGACGACCAGCCACACUGGGACUGAGACACGGCCCAGACUCCUACGGGAGGCAGCAGUGGGGAAUUUUGGACAAUGGGCGCAAGCCUGAUCCAGCCAUUCCGCGUGCAGGAUGAAGGCCCUCGGGUUGUAAACUGCUUUUGUACGGAACGAAACGGCCUGGGUUAAUACCUCGGGCUAAUGACGGUACCGUAAGAAUAAGCACCGGCUAACUACGUGCCAGCAGCCGCGGUAAUACGUAGGGUGCGAGCGUUA